rnacentral:lncRNA from 1 species
AUAAAGAUAAAGAUAAAGAUAAAGAUAAAGAUAAAGAUAAAGAUAAAGAUAAAGAUAAAGAUAAAGAUAAAGAUAAAGAUAAAGAUAAAGAUAAAGAUAAAGAUAAAGAUAAAUAUAGUUAAUAAUAAUGAUAAUGGUAAUACUGAUAAUGAUAAUAAUAGAAUUUUAAAUUCAAUUGAAAAUGGGACUAAGAAGCAUUUAACCAUUUCUCUUUGAAGAGGAUUAUGUAAGACUGUGGGAUGAUACAAAUGACAGCAUUAAUAUAGGCCAAAAUACAGCACUAAAACUAAAACUAAAAUAGUUCAGAACAGAAAGGAAUUACAAAAUGCUUUUUACAUACCAAAAGACAGUAUAAAUUUACAUUGGAGGAAGCCCUGCUGGGGUCACUAAUGUUUAAAUUGUUAUCUUAGCAUCUGGUUUAUGUCAUCCAUUACCAGCUGCUGGGUGUAAAGGGAAUUGCUUAUCAGCUGAGCUUGACUUGGGGGCCAACAGGCUGCUAUGGAGCCUGCUGUUAACUCACAGCUAGUUUAAAUGCCCUUAGCUUCCAAGAAAUUAAUAUCUGGAGUCACUGGAAUAAAAAUCUCUACUAGGAUUAGUACAGUUACUGCAGUAAUACUCAGCCACAGUCCUUUCAUAGCAGUAAAAAGACUCAUUUUGACAUAAAGAUCUAAAAAAAGCCAAAUCAUGACCAAAAGACAGAGGUAGACAAAGCAAAAUCAGUUAAAAGUGGGAAUACUCUGAUUACAUUGUUCUGCCAAUACACAAAUUUAAUUAGAUUGUUUUCCUUUAUGUUUUAAAUUAUGCAUGUUUACUCUUUCAUUCCUGUGGAAAUAGAGGAAAUGAUGAUAUGAAAUGACUGAAGGAUGAAGAUGGCUAGAGACAGUUUAUGUCAUGGUCUCCACUCAUAGGGACACUAAAGAAAAGAUGUUCAAAUAUUUGUCUUUAUAACCUAGAGCAUAUUAGUCCUCAAAGGUCUUUGAAAGGAUUUUUCAAGAAAAGGCAAACUUUUGUCAGGUUUGUUUCUGAUGCAACAUUACUGUACUUGGUACAUCAGGGGGGUUUUGAGACAAUACCUAAUGCAUGGUCAAUGCCAUUGAGGCAAAUAACACUUGACUUGGACAGUAUCACGAUGGAUGUGAAUGACUCACACCUUCUGAGCAAGACUUGGUCCAUGACAUCACAAAGAUUGCUUCUGACUCCUUUAGUCAGAAGAAACUGA